GCAGUCGAGGGGCAGCAUAUAGAUUGCUUGCAAUUUAUGAUGGCGACCGGCGCACGGGUGAGUAACGCGUAUCCAACCUACCCAUUACUAGGGAAUAACCCAGCGAAAGUUGGCCUAAUGCCCUAUGUAGUCGUUUGAUCGCCUGAGAUUUCGACGAAAGAUUUAUCGGUAUUGGAUGGGGAUGCGUCUGAUUAGCUUGUUGGCGGGGUAAAGGCCCACCAAGGCAACGAUCAGUAGGGGUUCUGAGAGGAAGGUCCCCCACAUUGGAACUGAGACACGGUCCAAACUCCCACGGGAGGCAGCAGUGAGGAAUAUUGGUCAAUGGGCGAGAGCCUGAACCAGCCAAGUAGCGUGCAGGAUGACGGCCCUAUGGGUUGUAAACUGCUUUUAUAUGGGAAUAAAGUGAGGGACGUGUCCCUUAUUGCAUGUACCAUACGAAUAAGGACCGGCUAAUUCCGUGCCAGCAGCCGCGGUAAUACGGAAGGUCCAGGCGUUAUCCGGAUUUAUUGGGUUUAAAGGGAGCGUAGGCUGUUUGUUAAGCGUGUUGUGAAAUGUAGGAGCUCAACUAUUAGAUUGCAGCGCGAACUGGCAGACUUGAGUGCGCACAACGUAGGCGGAAUUCAUUGUGUAGCGGUGAAAUGCUUAGAUAUCAUGACGAACUCCGAUUGCGAAGGCAGCUUACGG
rnacentral:rRNA from 1 species